CCUACGGGUGACAGCAGUGAGGAAUAUUGGUCAAUGGACGAGAGUCUGAACCAGCCAAGUAGCGUGAAGGAUGACUGCCCUAUGGGUUGUAAACUUCUUUUAUGUGGGAAUAAAAUGUUCCACGUGUGGGAUUUUGUAUGUACCAUAUGAAUAAGGAUCGGCUAACUCCGUGCCAGCAGCCGCGGUAAUACGGAGGAUCCGAGCGUUAUCCGGAUUUAUUGGGUUUAAAGGGAGCGUAGGUGGAUUGUUAAGUCAGUUGUGAAAGUUUGCGGCUCAACCGUAAAAUUGCAGUUGAAACUGGCAGUCUUGAGUACAGUAGAGGUGGGCGGAAUUCGUGGUGUAGCGGUGAAAUGCUUAGAUAUCACGAAGAACUCCGAUUGCGAAGGCAGUUCACUGGACUGCAACUGACACUGAGGCUCGAAAGUGUGGGUAUCAAACAGGAUUAGAUACCCUGGUAGUC
rnacentral:rRNA from 1 species